UCGGAUAUGGUGUAACGGCUAACAUUGCCGCCUCUCAUCAUUAUAAUGAACAAUGAACUCCUGAUUAUGCGUGGGUGCGCGGCAGCUCGGGGUUCAAUUCCCCGUAUUCGAA